rnacentral:rRNA from 1 species
CCUACGGGUGGCAGCAGUGGGGAAUAUUGCACAAUGGGGGAAACCCUGAUGCAGCGACGCCGCGUGAGUGAAGAAGUAUUUCGGUACGUAAAGCUCUAUCAGCAGGGAAGAAAAUGACGGUACCUGACUAAGAAGACCCGGCUAACUACGUGCCAGUAGCCGCGGUAAUACGUAGGGGGCAAGCGUUAGCCGGAUUUACUGGGUGUAAAGGGAGCGUAGACGGCAGCGCAAGUCUGGAGUGAAAUCCCAUGGCUUAACCAUGGAACUGCUUUGGAAACUGUGCAGCUAGAGUGCAGGAGAGGUAAGCGGAAUUCCUAGUGUAGCGGUGAAAUGCGUAGAUAUUAGGAGGAACACCAGUGGCGAAGGCGGCUUACUGGACUGUAACUGACGUUGAGGCUCGAAAGCGUGGGGAGCAAACAGGAUUAGAUACCCCAGUAGUC